GAUAUCAGCAAUCAAUCAACAAGACUAAUGAAAUGGAGCAAAUGAAGACGUUAGAUCUGCUAAAGUUUCCCCUAGAUACAGAUCUAGGAUCAGCUUCCCCUCCCCAAACCCAACAAGGACCACUAGCGGGGGGAAUUCAAACCUGAUCCAAAGCCAGGGUCUAUUUGGGGAACUUGUCCCAUCCCCCACAACUCUACAUGUGGAUGCGGCUUUCUCCAGCUCACCAUGCUCACAAAGAAAACAGCAGUGCAUUUCAGCUCUCCCGCUCUCCUCAGUCCGAGAAAACACUGAGAGAGAAAGAUCAACAUAAAAGCCUAAAAGACAGCCGUGGUGUCGUUCUUCAUUUCUUGGUUCUCCUGUGGUACAUAAGAAACCCGCUACAAGAACAUGGAUAAAAGCAGGAAUCUCUCGUGCCAAGAUUCAUCAGCUGUUAUACAAAUAUGAAACAAAACACCAGCUGAGUGGCACCGGCUGCAUCAGCAAGCCUGGGAAAGAACUGAAAAAACGCACUAAAGAGUCAAGACAGACACCAGAAAGAGACCCAAGAAGACUUGGACGCAGGAUCAGAGGACAGCGAGGGAUGUUCAGAAAACACUCAGUCCGGUUUGGAGAAUGACUUCUCAACCCAAGAGGCCUAAGAGCAGCUGUGAGAGAGCAUCAGUUUGGAAGCAUUUGGGAAAAUGUAGUGCUAAAGAAGGUUCCCGGCAAAGAGGGUUGCCUGUUAUGGGUCAGAGCCAGCUCUCAAAAAAGAACAUGUAAAGACAAAAAAACCUGGUGCUCAACAAAAUGCAAACAUACAAGGCUCUCCGCAGCCAGUAAAAGGCUAGCAUGCCACGAAGCUGAAGUUCACACAGGUGAAUGGGAGUGUUGUAAAAGACAAAAAGCUUUUUAGACAUAGCUCUAAAAUGCAGGUCCUAGUUGAGCUUGUGGGCUUGUUCUGCUCUUUUUUUCUUUUGUGGUGGAAAACUUAAGUGUGUCGAGCAUAACACGUCAACCCUGUUACCAAUAGAUAAAGGCUAGACAAUUCUUAGCAAUUUUAUUUUUGUCUGAAACUUCCAAUUCAAUGCUAGCUGUGGGAUGGAUCCUGGUUCAAGUCCAGGCUCUGUCGCAGCCGGCUGCGACCUGGAGACCCAUAGAUUGGUGCACAAUUGUCCCAGCGUCAUCCUGGUUAGGGGAGGGUUUUUAUUUAUUUUCGUUUUUUAUUUUUGUUUUUAUUCAUUUGAAUAUGGUCUUUAUAACAGAAGGUAAAAUUAGGUGAACUUUUAGUUAUGAAUAUGAACUGGCAAUAUUCUAGUGGCCAUUCUUCGUUGCAAUAAGCCCAUGAAAUAAUAUCAGUUUUUAUGAUGCUGGUAAAGAUAGUACCUUUACCUAACUUCGCAGUGUAGCCUAUAGGUUAUACACUGUGUGUACAAAAUAAUAAGGACACCUUCCUAAUAUUUAGUUAGCCCAUCCACCCCCUUUUGUCCUCAGAACAGCCUCAAUUUAUCAGGGCAUGGAUUCUACAAGGUGUUGAAAGUGUUCCACAGGGAUGCAGGCCCAUGUUGAUGCCAAUGCUUCCCACAGUUGUCAAGUUGGCUGGAUGUCCUUUGGUUGGUGGAACAUGAGCGUGAAAAACCCUUCAGUGUUGCAGUUCUUGACACAAACCGGUGUGCCUGGCACCUACUACCAUACUCCGUUCAAAGGCAGUUGAAUCUUUUGUUUUGCCCGUUUACCCUCUGAAUGGCACACAUACACUAUCCAUGUCUCCAGGCUUAAAAAUCAUUCUUUAACCUGUCCUGUCCCCUUCAUCUACAAGUGACAUCAAUAAGGGAUCAUAGCUUUCACUUGGAUUCACCUGGUCAGUCUGUCAUGGAAAUAGCAGGUGUCCUUAAUAUUUUGUACACUUAGUGUAAAUUUCACAAUAAUUAUACAUUUAUGGAUUUUGUUAUGUAGCCUAUUGUUGUCACUUUAUUGAACCUGUCUGCAACCCACCUGCCUGGGGACUGCGGGUUGUGAGACAAUCCUUGCAUGUUCUGCAGCCUUGUAAAAAUAGGGAGAGGAUGACUGGGAUGCAGUUUGGCAUUUAUUGUCAUGAAUCUUGCCCUGGCGGCAGUUCUGCAAAAAGUGGUCACAAGCUGGCACAGGCAUAAAGUAAUAAUAUCUGAUUUGAAACCUAACCUUAACCCUAACCACACUGCUAAUCCUUACCUUAAAUUAAGACCAUAAAACACAAUUAUUUUCCACAAAUAUUUACAAUAUAGCCAGUUUUGACUUAGCAGCUGCCAUAUCUUGAGGAAAUUGCGCAGUUCUGCCUCCAGGGCAAUAUUCAUGACAAACUUCAAGCUGCGACUGGGAGAGGGAAUGUAAAACCGAUAACGAAAUUGUUUUGACAAUUAACAUACAUUUUAUUAUGAAAAGUACAAUAUAUCCAUGUACACAUCAGAUAGCUGCUCUUUCUCUGCUACCUCAUUCAAUUUCUCUAAUUCUCUAGUUUAGUAUUCCCUGGUUAUGUUCCAAUUCUCCCUCUAUUUCCUCACCUCUUCCUCAGACUCUUCUUUUCCUCUUUCUUGUCCUCCUUACUUUCUCCAUUAUUUUCCAUCUGUUGUAUCUUACUGGCCUUCUCUUGCUUCACAAGUUUUUUGGCUUUGCCCUUCUUUUUCUUAUUGACCUUCCCUUCCUGAAUAUUUUGGACAA